AAAAAAAUUAAUAAAUAGAUCUGAAACCAGAAAGAAAAACGAACAAGGAGGCCUGCAAUUUGUUUAAUCCCCCUGCUUUCCCGCAUUUAUCACAGCAUUUGAUCCCCUAAGAACGAAAUUAGCACAAAAUAAACCACUAACUAAUAUGCCUCUCUCUUUUUUUUACAGGUUGCGGGUCUAGUUAUCAGAUACUUAUGAACAGCUGUACCAUCUAUAAUGGUUUCCAUCAUGAACAGCUGUGCACAACAGUAGAUUUUCAUUUUCCAUUUUCUUCCUUCGCGGCCUUGCCUAAUAUGAAAUGGUACCAGCUUAUGGGCAGAGAACUGAUGACAAUCAACUUUUUCCAGCAUAAUUAGGCUGUCUUUGAUAAACCAAGAAAUGGAUUCAAGAAGAGGCUCCUGAACUUCCAGAACUCAA